CCGUGGCAAACAGCUCAGUAACACGUGGCCAAACUACCCUAUGGACGUGGACACCCUCGGGAAACUGAGGCUAAUCCACGAUACGGCUCCCACGCUGGAAGGCGGGGAGCCGGAAACGCUCCGGCGCCAUAGGAUGUGGCUGCGGUCGAUUAGGUAGACGGUGGGGUAACGGCCCACCGUGCCCAUAAUCGGUACGGGAUGUGAGAGCAAAUAGCCCGGAGAUGGUAUCUGAGACAAGAUACCAGGCCCUACGGGGCGCAGCAGGCGCGAAACCUUUACACUGCACGCCAGUGCGAUAAGGGGACCCCGAGUGCGAGGGCAUACAGUCCUCGCUUUUGUACACCGUAAGGAGGUGUACGAAUAAGGGCUGGGCAAGACCGGUGCCAGCCGCCGCGGUAAUACCGGCAGCCCGAGUGAUGGCCGCUGUUAUUGGGCCUAAAGCGUCCGUAGCCGGCCGAACAAGUCUGUCGGGAAAUCCAUCCGCCUAACGGAUGGGCGUCCGGCAGAUACUGUUCGGCUUGGGGCCGGAAGAUCCGAGGGGUACGUCCGGGGUAGGAGUGAAAUCCCGUAAUCCUGGACGGACCGCCGGUGGCGAAAGCGCCUCGGAAGGACGGACCCGACGGUGAGGGACGAAAGCUGGGGUCUCGAACCGGA
rnacentral:rRNA from 1 species